rnacentral:rRNA from 1 species
AUGCUGCUUUACUGCAUCACCCUUUCCUCUUCAAGGGAAAACCAACGCAGUGCUCAAGAGGUAGCAAGAAGGAUUUCUGGCGCCGUUGCCGGGGAGAUCUACGCCAAGUCAAGACAUACCAAGUACCCAUCACAAACUCUUAUCCCUCGCAUUACAUUAUUUGCCAUUUGCCUCUCGUUUUCCUCUCCCCCACUUCACCCUUGCCAUUUUAUUCUCCCUUCUUCUGUUCGUCUUUUCAUUUGCUUUGAUGUCUUACUUGGCUCGUUUGCUCGUUUGCUUGGAAUAGUUGUUUAUUUAUUGCUAAACAGAGAACCUAAGAUAUAUGGAUCCUCAUCCGCUUGCUAA